rnacentral:lncRNA from 1 species
ACCUUCUCUUCUCCUCAAACGAUGAAGAAUGCAGAGAGGAUUCUAAAGCUGAAGAACGCACAGAGGAGAGAGGAAGGGAACGGUCAGAGGUGAUACUAUAGACAGAGAGGAAGGGAACGGUCAGGUAAGCAAAAGGAAGACAGUAUAAACAGAACAUUCAAAAACGUUUCAGAGAAAACCUUCUCUUCUCAAACCUUCUCUGCCGUAUGCUUCGCCGCUGAAUGUACGAGAGUUCCCUGGACUAGCAGUCUAGCAGCCUGCAGAAGAAGAAAGAAGAAAAAGCAUAUGUAUUUGAUAAAAAAAUGAUCAC